GAUGAAGAACGUAGCGAAAUGCGAUAAGUAAUGUUAAUUGCAGAAUUCAGUGAAUCAUCGAAUCUUUGAACGCACAUUGCGCCCGCCAGUAUUCUGGCGGGCAUGCCUGUUCGAGCGUCAUUUCAACCAUCAAGCCCCAGGCUUGUGUUGGAGCCCUGCGGCUGCCGCAGCCUCCCAAAACCAGUGGCGGGCUCGCUAUCACACCGAGUGCAGUAGUUUACUCUUCGCUCAGGGCGUGUGGCGGGUGCUAGCCGUAAAACCCCCAACUUCUCAAGGUUGACCUCGGAUCAGGUAGGAAUACCCGCUGAACUUAAGCAUAUCAAUAAGCGGAGGA
rnacentral:misc_RNA from 1 species